CUUCGGUAAACGUUACUUAUGUGCGUCUCAUAAAUCAGGUGUCUGAGUUCUCAGGCUGUGGCUGCAGUCUACCAUUGAAUUACAUCCCGUGAGCAAUGUUGUCCGAUUUCACCGGCCAGCACGUUCUUCUCGAGUGUGGGAUUGGUUUUUGCAAGACCUCGAAAGGAUUUUGAUAAGCCACCUGCUUAAGGCCGGCUGAAAAAGAAGAAAGGAGGGCAUAUGUGGGUCAGCUCACUCGGAAUAGAAGAGGAAUCAGCCAUUCAAGGUAGGGGCCAUUGUCAUCUCCAGUUGGCCAAUUAGAAAAUUGAGUGCUGAGACCCGGAGUCGCCUGUCUGAGGUCACACAGCUGGUCAGUAGGGCCUGGAUUCAAACCCAGGCAGUCUGAUUCAAGAGCCUGAUUGAGAUCCUGUGCUUCUGUCUGCUCUCUUCUGCUGCACCUGUCCCCACGCGAUGAAUGACAAAGCCAGGCUCAGAGAAGUUAACCAGCUUGUCGGAGAAGACCUAGGUGGUGGUUACAGUGCUACGCCAGGAACCUUGGUCUGCAUGGACCCCAGAGGCCGUGCUCACAGCCAUGCAGCUGACUGGCCUCCCACGCUUGCUGGAGGAGCUACAGCUGGUGGGUACAGUGUACACUAUGAACCUUGGUCUGCAUGCACCCCAUAGCUCAUGUUCAUAGCCACGCAGCUGACCUGCCUCCCAUGCUCCCAUGCUGAGUUUCACCGGGAGAGGGAUAGAAAGCUCUGUCUCUUUCCAUAGGGAGGACUGCAUCUCCCAGCCCUCUGCGAUCCCACAAGGGGUAGAUCCCAUCCUGUGCUCAUGGCUUCGUGGCCUCCUGCUGGCAAAACCGGCCACAGCCAACUCAGGGAUCCACAGAAUACUAUCUGCAGAAUGAGCAGCUGCCUACACUGCGGGAUUUAUGCGGCUCCAGACAAUCUUCAGAGCCUAAACAUUCUUCCCCAGCUUGGAUAGGUUAAUAUACGCCCGGUGCUUGGCAGGGUUCCUGACUUAUUGUAAGCACGUGGCAAACAUUAGUUGUCACUGUCAUGAUUGUUAUUAAUGGGUGACACCUGAGAUUCCUUCAACCCCGCAAAGCCUCACAGAUACCAACAAAAGCUAUUGUGUAGCAGAGAAUUAACCUUGGAAGAGCAUAUUUGGCUGUGUAACCUCAGGAGAGUCAGUUCAUGUCUCUGAGCCUGACUUUCCUCAUCUAAGGAAGACAUGAUGUCCUCAAGAGGCCCUUCUAGCUCUGACAUUCUGUCAUGUCACUCACAUGGAGUUAUUCACACCGGGGUAUAAUUCACUGGUUCCUCCAGUUAUUUAUUUGCUGAACAAGUAUUUACUGAGAAUGUACUAUGUGCCAGGCACUGUUCUAGGUAUUUAGGACAAAGCAGUGAAUACAGCAGGCAAAAAUCCCUGCUCUCAGUGUGCGUAUAAGCCUAGCAGGAGGAAGAAGUUGAUAAACAAUACACACACUAAAUAAACAUGCUGGCGGGUGACAGCUGGGGAGAGUAGCAGGGCAGGUGGUGAGAAGUGAUCAAGUGAUCAAACUCUAGAGGUGUUUUGGAGGUAGUAACACCGUGAUUUUCAGUUGGAUCUGGGUGGGAGAAAGGAGAAAUCGGACAAUGCCAAGGUUUUUGGACUGAACACUGGGAAGUAUGAAGUUGUCAUCAGCUGAAAUGAAGGUGACAGAAUGAAGAUGAAGCAGUUUUUUUUGUGGGGGGUGGGGAAGAACAGGAGUUCAACUUUGGAAUUGUUAAGGUUGAGAUAUAAAUUGGACAUCACAUGGGGACAUCCAGCAGGCAAUUAGGUAGACAAGUGUGGUAUUCAGGGACAAGAUCUGGGAUGAUGAGACCUAACUGGGAGUUGUAACUAUAGGAAUGGCAUUUAAAGCCACAAGGCUGGAUGAAAUCACCAAGGGAGAGAGUAGAUAAAAGAGCAGAAGUUGCACAGCUGCCGGUUGACAGAUCAACAGGAGACAUGGGAAAUUAUGAUUUGGUGGUUGUGAAAUGUCCAUGGCACAUGGAAGCUGAGCAGUCCCCACCCAGAGCAUAAUAUGGAGGAGGCUGGAGGCUCUUGUUACAAUAGUUUGGUCAUUUUUUGCAGGGCAUAAAUCCAAAACUAUGUGUAUUUUAUCAUUUGGCAAUACUUAAAGAAUUUGAAAUAAACCCUUUUGGAGUAAUGAGCUAAAAAACAAAUAUUUAAUGGAAAUUUAAGUACUGCACUUCUGUUGCUCAAGGAAGUUGUUGAUGAGCAGAUAGCUUGCAUAGAACGUUUGUUGACAUUUGCAUCACUAUGGGGUCUGUAGCAAUUUCACUGAUUGCAAGAAAACCUAAGACACAGAGCUGCUACUUUAGAAAUUAGUAAUUUUAAGAACAUUGCACCAGGCUGGGCGUGGUGGCUCAAGCCUGUAAUCCCAGCACUUUGGGAGGCCGAGGCAGGUGGAUCAUGAGGUCAGGAGUUCAAGACCAGCCUGGCCAAGAUGGUGAAACCCUGUAUGUACUAAAAAUACAAAAACUAGCUGGGUGUGAUGGCAGGUGCCUGUAAUUCCAGCUACUUGGGAGGCUGAGGCAGAGAAUUGCUUGAACCUAGGAGGCAGAGGUUGCAGUGAGCUGAGAUCGCACCAGUACACUCCAGCCUGGGUGACAGAGUGAGACUCUGUCUCAAAAAAAAAAAAAAAAAUUGCACCCUAAGACACGGUUCUCAUCCAUGUAGCUGCAAAAGAUGCUGAUAUAAGAUCAUUCUGAGAGGCAUGACUUUUCCCUUAGAUCAAAUGACUGUUCUUUAAGUUAACUCAGCUCACAUUUAAUUCCAGCUUUUCUUGUGCACGUGCAACAGUGGAAGUGAUGGCUGACUGUGUGUUGGCUCCAUAAGAAGAACAUCACAGAAAGCAAAAUGGUGCCAGCUCAACACCAGUAUCCUCGGACUCUUCAGACAGAAAAACCUGUUAAUUCCAAUCACAAUUCAUUCUUUCAUUCAGCUCAUGGAAGCCAAGCAGGGCUUUGGGACAUUCAUUCUGGCAAAGUGAAACAACUGACUUUUUGUGAAUGCUAUUUAAGUUGUUUAAAUUUUCCACAUUGGAAAUAAAGUCAUUGCAUUUUUGUGAGGAUAAAACACAAAUUGUGGUGGAGUCCAGCGUCAUGGUAACAAUAAUAUUCCUACUAAAUUAAGACACUAAUGAAACAGAAAUGUGAUUGGAACAGGUCAUGGUGCACACACAAUUUGUUAUUGCAUAUAAAUAAAUGUCAAUAUUCUAUAAAUUGACAUUUAUAGACGUACGUGACAAAAUUUACAAAAUGUUAAAACAUAUGCACAGAUUUACUGAACUACAAACUUGUGAUAAAGUUGUUCAUGAAUUUUUUUAAAAAACUGGACUUUCACAUGUGUUUUCUCUUUUAUUUUCCCAUUAUCAAUCAAUUUUAGUGGACAUUGAGUCUCAGCAUCCUAAAAUGUUAUUAAACAGUGUAUUAAAACAGAUCUAUAAAUUUUCGUUGAAUUUUGUUCCAAAUCAGUUGGAAAUAUUUAGUCAAGUUAUUCAAUGAAUAGAGCAGCAAAACGUCAACUUUCAAAGCUUUUAGUGAAUUAUAAAUAUUGAAAACAAAGCUGGUAUGCAGAAAAAUUAUAAAAUGUAUCAGAAAAUGAUCAAAAUCAAAUGCUGUACAAGAGUUAAUUUUGAAAUUCUAAAAUGAGCUCUGGAACAUUUCAGCUUGUGGGAAGAAUCUUUUUAAUUGGAUAAAUUCAUGUUCUGUAUGAAAUGAGAUGAAAUUGAGAAAGCCAAUGAUUUUUUUUUUUUUUGCAGUAUCUGAAUCUGACAAAACAUUCAAAACUUAUAAGUAGGUACAACUUAUUUGAAAGGUUUAAUCUGGUUAAAAAAAAAUACGUGUGGGCUGGGCACGGUGUGGCUCAUGCCUGUAAUCCCAGCACUUUGGGAGGCUGAGGCAGGUGGAUCACAUGAGGUCAGGAGUUCAAGACCAACCUGGCCAACAUGGUGAAACUUUGUCUCUACUGAAAACACAAAAAUUAGCCGGGCAUGGUGGCAGGCGCCUGUAAUCCCAGCUACACAGGAGGCUGAGGCAGGAGAAUUGCUUGAACCUGGGAAGCGGAGGUUGUGGCGAGCCAAGAUCGCACCACUACAUUCCAAACUAAGGCACAAAGACAGCACCUGUGAAAAUAUCUGGGCUAAAAUAUUUAUGCAAUUCCAUAUGCAAAGAAUUGGACUUGAGAACAGCCUCUGCCUGGCAGAAUUUGCUGAGAGCUUAUCACUCAGAACCUGCACAGGGAACAUUUUCUCAAUAUAUUAUGGUUCAAGAGAAGAGUCAAUUGAAGGUACUAAUUUAAAUUUGUUAAUUGUAAAAUUUGUGGAAAAAAGAUUUCAGGCAAUUAUAUGGAAAAAUUAAAAAUAACAAGACCCCACUGAAGAAAAUACAUUCUUGUGAAAAAUGCCAGUGACAGGGUAUCAGUCAGGUACAAGAAACUGUAGCAUGUGAAUAUACAACAAGAACAAUUAUUUUGCUUAUCUUAUUUUUAAAUGUUCAGUUGAUUAACAUAAACAUGUUUUCUUUUGCUUUAAUAUUCAUAGGUGUAUGCAUAUAUAUUUAAAGACUUUUUUGAAAAUAGUUUUUAUCUAGAACUACUUUAUAACACCAUCAAUAUAAUAUAACCAUUUUGUUGGAUUUUUUCCCCUUCCUUCCUUCCUUCCCUUCAUUCCCUCCUUCUCUCCUUCCCUCCCUACCCUCCUUCCCUCCUUCCUUCCUUCCUUCCUCCAUCCCUCCCUUCCUCCCUCCCUUCUUCCCUCCCUCCCAUCCUGCUUUCCUUCCUUCCUUCCUUCCCUUCCUUCUUUCCUUCCUUCCUUCUUUCCUCUCUCUUUCUACCUGUAAAUACUAAUUUUUGGGGGAAAUAAUUUUUGACUAUUGGGGUGCCCCGGCAGUGUGCACACACAUGGCCUGACCAUCCCUCUCCUAGCUAUCUCUGAUGAUGGCCAGGAAGCUGAGGUCUAUGGUGACAGAGGCUGGCAGGUGGGAAUCUGUAGAAUUCCCCGGCGAUUGGUUGGGAUUUCUCAGGGAGAAAGGAGGCGAGGUCCUGACCUGUGGUGGAGGGGCUGGGGCAUUGAGAGUUUGAGAAGAGAUGGGAGGGUGUUGAGCACUGAUAUGGUUUGGCUGUGUCCCCACCCAAAUCUCAUCUUGAGUUGUAGCUCCCAUAAUUCUCUCGUGUUGUGUGAGGGACUUGGUGGGAGAUAAUUGAAUCAUGGGGAUGGAGAACAAAGCCAAGCCAAUAUCUUGACUUUAGCUCAGCGAGACUGAGUUUGAACUCCUGAUCUCCAGAACUGUAAGAUAAUAACUUGCAUCGUUUUAAGCCACUCACUUUGUGAUAAUUAAUUAUAGCAGCCUUAGGAAACCAGCACGGGGGUGAGGCUGCACCCUGCCCAGGAAGCCAGAGACGACCAGCUACGCAGGGACUUUAGCUCGAACCUGAUUAGGUCAGUGGACACCGCCCCCAUCCCCAGGACGGGGAGGUGGCUGGGGCCACUGCAGCCACAGCAUGUGUCUGCUCACAUGGGGCUUAUUUUUAAAGGGAUUGUCCUCACCUGCUGCUGUCUGUGUUUAUAAAGUUGGCUAGAGAGGAGAAAUCUUCCUUUGCCAGUUUUCAGCUUUAGCUCUGAUAUUUGCCUGGAACAUAGUAGGUGCUCAAUAAACAAUAUCUCUGGAUAUUGUUAGUAAUAUGUGACCCUAUUUGAAGAACUCAGAAGGGGCACUGGGCAAGUCUACAAGAGAUGGCAAUUCUGUAAUUCCUGUGUGGUAUUUUCUGAAUUCUGCACAUUUUAACCUAGGCUAUGAGACAGUGUGACUUUCUUCAACAAAUUAGUUAAUUCUUCAAAUUAACUCCAAUUUCAACAGCAUGGUGAUGUUAAAGGCAUUGGAAAUUCAGCCACAGAUGUUAAAGACCAUCAGCACGGUCACAUAGUAAGAUGCUACUUUCAAGCCACGAAUAACCCAACCAGUUAUUGGUCUUAUGAAAUCUUGUAAGCCAUCCCAGAGAGACUAAUUUAAUUUUUAUGAUUCAGAAUUUGCAGGCUGUAACUGGUCAGUCCAUGCGAACUCUGGUGGCUGCAUUCAGCCCUGACAUGUUUCACCUGACUUUGAUAUAAGGAGCUACUGGAACCUUCCUACGAGUUCUAAAACCUUUCCCUCCUCCUCCUGUUCUGGAAAAGCAAUUAAGACCCAAACUAGGCAUGAAAUAAAAGUCUCUUAAAUUGAUUUAGAAUUAUUUUUAAAAAGUACCCUCACAGAAGUGGAAAAUUUUGCCAAUAGGUAGGUGUAAAAGGAAGUUUUUUGUUUUUCUAAG
rnacentral:lncRNA from 1 species